AAUUCCAUAUCAUUUCAUCUUUCAUCCUCCCACAUAGCUUCAUCCUGCUGCCGCUUGUUCCAUCUUAUUAGAAUCUCUGUCUUCAUUCUCCCAUCAACUCGACGGCAUCGCCUAGUGUAACGACCCGACCUGCUAGCAACAAUAACUCGUUGGGCCCAAACCACCGGCCCAAAAUGCUUAAAUCCAGUUAUUAUUACUAGCGUGUAGACCUCAUAUAUUCUAAGCAGAAUCAUUUUCCCAUCCGAUGUGGGACUAGAAUCAUUUUCCUAUCCGAUGUGGGACUAAUGAGGCACUACAAACUCCCCAUUUUUAGAUCUUGACGUCCUCAUCGGUUCCAAACCAAACUAUUUAGACCCUGAUAUCCUCGUUGGGUCCAAACCAAAUCACAUAUGCAGACCAAAAUUACUAGACGAUGUGAGAUUCUAGAGGUGUCUCCUACAGGUUCAAGAGGUAGCUCCCACCAAAUCCGUUGGUAUAGCACUUUGUCCCACAUAGAACUUAACCUAUAGCACUUUGUCCCACAUAGAACUUAACCUAUAGCACUUUGUCCCACAUAGAACUUAACCUAUAGCACUUUGUCCCACAUAGCACUUAGCUCUCACACUUUCGGCUGGUAUUCAGAUCCGAUACCAAUUGUAACGACCCAACCAGCUAGCAACAAUAACUCGUUGGGCCCAAACCACCGGCCCAAAAUGAAUAAAUCCAGUUAUUAUUACUAGCGUGUAGGCCUCAUAUAUUCUAAGCAGAAUCAUUUCCCAUGCGAUGUGAGACUAGAAUCAUUUUCCCAUCCGAUGUGGGACUACUAGGGCGUUACACCUAGCCCAAAAGUUUGUUGAAAUUAGCAU
rnacentral:lncRNA from 1 species